rnacentral:rRNA from 1 species
UACGGAGGGUGCGAGCGUUGUCCGGAAUCACUGGGCGUAAAGGGCGCGUAGGCGGCCUGAUAAGUAGGGGGUGAAAUCCUGCGGCUUAACCGCAGGGCUGCCUUCUAAACUGUCAGGCUAGAGCACAGUAGAGGCAGGUGGAAUUCCCGGUGUAGCGGUGGAAUGCGUAGAGAUCGGGAAGAACAUCAGUGGCGAAGGCGGCCUGCUGGGCUGUUGCUGACGCUGAGGCGCGACAGCGUGGGGAGCAAACAGC